rnacentral:rRNA from 1 species
AUGGAGAACCUCAUUGCGGCGUCGGCUCGUUUGGCAGCUCUCCCAAUGGAAGGCGACUCGCCAGCAGCAAUUGAAACCUGGAGGGUAAGAAAACUGCUUCAAACAAUUUUGGCCCAGCAGGAUGCAUACUCCUAUAGUCGAGACAUGAUUCAUUCAACUCCUCGCCGAAGCCGGAGCCCGAGUUACAGUAGGCACAUGGAGUCUGCAGAGAUGUCAAGUAAUGCUCAACGCCACAACCGGCCAUAUAGGCAUGAGCCAGUGCGGGCUGGAGCCCUUAACUUGGCGGAUCAGGAGAGGAUUUGUCAAGAGGCGGAACGGGCGGCUCAGAUAGCAGCACAGCAGGCAGCUCACCAAACCUUUCCGGCUUAUCCAGCAACCUCGGUUGAGGCAGGAGUGGUUACAAGAACCGGAGGCGUACCUUGCCUGAUCCCAGCCAUACGCAAUGAGUGGUUGCCCAAGGAUUUCAAGGGACCUCGUAAGGUACCUAACUACACGGCUGACUUACAGCCGGGGGCUUGGAUUGAGAGUUAUGAGAUGGCUAUGGAGCUAUUGGAGGUUAGUGAUGCUGCAAUGACCAAGUACUUUACCAUGAUGUUAGAUGGAACGGCUCGGACUUGGUUGAAAGGAUUACCACCCAAUUCCAUCGGCUCAUGGGCAGAGUUGAAGGCACGGUUCAUCCAAAACUUUAAAGACACGUGUAAGCGGCCAAUGUCAAUUGUGGACCUGACCAAUUGCAAGCAAGAUGAUGGAGAAUCUACAACCCAUUGGGUGCGCCGGGUCAAGGAGGUAAUACAUUCGUCUGAUAAAAUGGACGUCGGCUCAGCAGUUUUGAUGUUGGAGAAAAAUUGCCGUUUUGAACCUCUGAAGCAGAAGUUGGGGCGGCUUAAACGAGACUGCAAUGACAUGGGAACGUUGAUGGCGGCUUUUGUCAAGUAUGCCGAUUCUGAUACCACUAAAGACCCGACGUCUGAUGAAGAAAAGGCAACGAAGGGAAAAAAGAACGGCAAUGGCAAGGGUCACCAGCAUAACCCGGCAAAUCAAGGAGGUAAUAAGCGUAAGGCUGAUGAGUUUGUUGCUAAUACUAAUGCGCAGGGUGGUAAUCAGCGACACAAGGGCAGGCAGCCCCCUCGAUCGGGCAGGUCAGGCCCCACCCUUGAGCAGCUGUUGAAUGAACCUUGUCCAAAACACGGUACCAGGGAGAAGCCAGCUACCCACUUGUGGAAGGAUUGCACGAUCAUGAAGGCGUUUAAAAAUUCAAAUGCAUUUGAUGGGGGUCAUGGUUCUGGUGGCGGCUCAGGCGGCUUUCAGGGCCCGGGCGCCGAUUCAGGUGGAGGAGUUUUCAUGGUCAUCCUGGUCACCAGGGAGGAUAUAAUCAGUAACACGGCCAAUGGAAUCAACAGCAGCAACAAUCCGGCUAUCAGAGCAACCCGAAGCAGUUGA